GGUGAGUAAUGUAUAGGAAUCUACCUAGUAGUACGGAAUAAUCGUUGGAAACGGCAACUAAUACCGUAUACGCCCUACGGGGGAAAGAUUUAUCGCUAUUAGAUGAGCCUAUAUUAGAUUAGCUAGUUGGUAAGGUAAUGGCUUACCAAGGCAAUGAUCUAUAGCUGAUCUGAGAGGAUGAUCAGCCACACUGGAACUGAGAUACGGUCCAGACUCCUACGGGAGGCAGCAGUGGGGAAUAUUGGACAAUGGGCGAAAGCCUGAUCCAGCCAUGCCGCAUGAGUGAAGAAGGCCUUUGGGUUGUAAAGCUCUUCCGGUGAGGAAGAUAAUGACGGUACUCACAGAAGAAGUCCUGGCUAACUCCGUGCCAGCAGCCGCGGUAAUACGGAGAAGGCUAGCGUUAUUCGGAAUUAUUGGGCGUAAAGAGCGCGUAGGCUGGUUAGUAAGUUAAAAGUGAAAUCCCAAAGCUCAACUUUGGAAUUGCUUUUAAAACUGCUAACCUAGAGAUUGAAAGAGGAUAGAGGANUUCCUAGUGUAGAGGUGAAAUUCGUAAAUAUUAGGAGGAACACCAGUGGCGAAG
rnacentral:rRNA from 1 species